UUUAUAUCCUGGGCUACACACACGCUACAAUGGCCAACACAAUAGGUUGCUAAGCCGCGAGGUGGCGCCAAUCCAUAAAGUUGGUCUCAGUUCAGAUUGUAGGCUGCAACCCGCCUGCAUGAAGAUGGAGUUGCUAGUAACCGCAGGUCAGCUAUACUGCGGUGAGUACGUUCCCGGGCUU
rnacentral:rRNA from 1 species